CGGCAUGCCUAAGACAUGCAAGUCGUACGAGGGGACCCUUGAACUCUGUACUGUAUAGAGCGAUUUGGAUUCUCCCCUAGUGGCGAAAGGGUGAGUAACACGUGGGUUAUCUACCUCAGAGACUGGGAUAACUACUGGAAACGGUAGCUAAUACCGGAUGAUAUAUACAAUGAUUCGUUAUUGUAUAGUAAAAGGGGCCUUUAAAGCUUCACUUUGAGAUGAGCCUGCGCUGUAUUAGCUAGUUGGUAAGGUAAUGGCUUACCAAGGCGACGAUGCAUAGCCGACCUGAGAGGGUGAUCGGCCACACUGGGACUGAGACACGGCCCAGACUCCUACGGGAGACAGCAGUUAGGGAUAUUCGUCAAUGGAGGAAACUCUGAACGAGCAAUGCCGCGUGAGUGAUGACAGUUCUUUGGAUUGUAAAACUCUGUUGUUAGGGAAGAACGACUCGUAUAGGAAAUGAUACGAGAGUGACUGUACCUUUCAAGAAAGCUCCGGCUAACUACGUGCCAGCCGCCGC
rnacentral:rRNA from 1 species